CAUGUCCUUUUGAUUAUGAUUUAAGGUCUGAUCUGCUCAGUGAGUAGUUAAAUUGCCGCAGUAUUUUGACUGUGCAAAGGUAGCAUAAUAAUUAGUUUCUUAAUUAGAAGCUGGAAUGAAUGAUUGGACGAGAAAAUUACUGUCUCUUUUUAAAUUUUUAUUGAAUUUUAUUUUUAAGUCAAAAAGCUUAAAUUUUUAUAAAAGACGAGAAGACCCUAUAGAGUUUGAUGAUUUAAUUAUAUAAUUUCUUAGAAAGUUUUUUUUAAUUGAAUUAUUUAGUUGGGGUGACUAGAAGAUUAAGAUAAUUCUUUUUGUAUUUAAUUGAUGAUUAUUAAUUUUUGUUUGUAAUUUUUUUAAGUUAAAAGAAAAUUACCUUAGGGAUAACAGCGUUAUUUUUCUUUAAAGUUCUUAUUAAAAGGAAAUUUUGCGACCUCGAUGUUGGAUUAAAAUUAAUUUUUGGUGCAGUAACUUAAAAAUUAGGUCUGUUCGACCUUUAAAAUUUUACAUGAUCUGAGU
rnacentral:rRNA from 1 species